UUGGCUAAUUAAGUAUGAAAGAAGUAAAUGGGAGGUUAUUAAAUUAUUUAUUUGUAUAAAUGGGGGUAGUAAAAUGGGGAAAAGUAAGAAAGACUAAGAAGAAUGUGAGGUGGCCAGCCACUACCUAUUUUUAGGGUGAAUGGGAUAUAUUUUUUGAUUAAUUGGGUAAUUUAAUUGAUGUUUAAUGGAUUAAUUGGGUAAUUAAUCCAUUAAUUAACCAAUUAACAUUAUUUUAUAGGUUACCUUGCAAAAGGGGAUUUGAUGAGAUGGACUUUGAAUUGGUUACCUCUUUUGGAGCAUUUUUGAUUUUGUUGAAAGAUGAUUCUCCGCUACUCACGCGUAGGAAUCCCAAUGUGCCUCAAGGGUAUUCUUGUCCUUUUUUUUAUCUAAAGAUCCACGUGUCGCCUUGUGAUUAUUUUUGGCUCCAUAAUAGAGAUUUACAAAAAUAUACAAAAAACUGCCAUGGCAUACAUAUAUUCAAUUCUACACAAAGGUUUAGUCAUAUACAAAUAUAAAUACA
rnacentral:lncRNA from 1 species